UAGGGAAUCUUCGGCAAUGGGGGGAACGCUGACCGAGCAACGCCGCGUGAGUGAAGAAGGUUUUCGGAUCGUAAAGCUCUGUUGUUAAGGAAGAACGAGUGUGAGAAUGGAAAGUUCAUGCUGUGACGGUACUUAACCAGAAAGGGACGGCUAACUACGUGCCAGCAGCCGCGGUAAUACGUAGGUCCCGAGCGUUGUCCGGAUUUAUUGGGCGUAAAGCGAGCGCAGGCGGUUAGAAAAGUCUGAAGUGAAAGGCAGUGGCUCAACCAUUGUAGGCUUUGGAAACUGUUUAACUUGAGUGCAGAAGGGGAGAGUGGAAUUCCAUGUGUAGCGGUGAAAUGCGUAGAUAUAUGGGGGAACACCGGUGGCGAAAGCGGCUCUCUGGUCUGUAACUGACGCUGAGGCUCGAAAGCGUGGGGAGCGAACAGG
rnacentral:rRNA from 1 species